rnacentral:lncRNA from 1 species
AAUAAUGCAUAAAUUAAUAUCUUAUUCAUAGCACUUAUCAUUAUUUUAAUUCAUAUAUUUUAUAAAUUCAACUAAAAAAUGUGUUACCUUCAUCAUUGCAUUUUAAUAAAUUAUUAAAGGUAAUUCAAGUUUUACUUAUUUACUGAUUGAGUCUAAUAUAUGCAGGUUGAGUCAAGUUCAUUAGGGAUUAUUCCUGGACCUAAACCACAUGCACCCCGCAAAUCAAGACCCUCUGAUUCAGUCACCCAACUCUUUUCCCACAUGAUCCUAUUUUAAUAAAAUUCCUUCGAUCAUUUGUCUCAUAGAUCUCAAAGCAUACCAUCUAUCGUCGCACGGAUCCCAAAGCUCAACCUAUCUCCUCCAAUCACACGUCCUCCCUCACGCCCGAGUUCAUUUUCUGUUUUCCUUGUUAGAGCCGCAACCGUCACAAUCCAACUCCCCUGUUUCCACAACAAAACCAAGCACAGCUCCCAGCUUCUCCCGCUAGAUCCCCUCCAUGUUGAUUCUCCCACGCCCAGCCGAGAUCUCCUCAA